rnacentral:rRNA from 1 species
GACGAACGCUGGCGGCGUGCUUAACACAUGCAAGUCGAGCGGUAAGGCCCUUCGGGUACACGAGCGGCGAACGGGUGAGUAACACGUGGGUGACCUGCCCUUAGCUCUGGGAUAAGCCUGGGAAACUGGGUCUAAUACCGGAUAUGACCUCAUGACGCAUGUUGUGGGGUGGAAAGCCUUGUGCGGCUAGGGAUGGGCCCGCGGCCUAUCAGCUUGUUGUGGGGUGAUGGCCACCAAGCGACGACGGUAGCCGGCCUGAGAGGGCGACCGGCCACACUGGGACUGAGACACGGCCCAGACUCCUACGGGAGGCAGC